CCCAGGGAACAAGACAUUGGCAGCAGCCAUUAUUGUGACCUAGUACAGGCAUGCUGACACAGAUGCCAGCAGACGCCAUUGGAGUUCUUCCUCUGGCCUGUUAGCCCAGGGGUUGGCACCACAUACUAAAGCACUGAUUUAAUCCAGUUCAGCCGUGGCAGGCAGUUGGCCCUUGGCACUGGCUGGCCCCACUCAACAGCAAGCCCUCAGGCAAUUCAUGGGCCCACAUAAGCAGGGUGCCUGAAAACUCUGGCUGCCAGCCCCAAAGCUCAAGAGUAGUGAUGCUGGCAAUUUGGAUAUACCAAAGAGAAGCUGUAAAGUGCUUUCUUUAAGUGAAAAGUUUCUAUUUCAGAGCUCCGUGGGAAGAGUGGAGAGCGCAGAGCAGACCCAUUCCCAGCUACCUGAAUG
rnacentral:lncRNA from 1 species